CAGCAGCCGCGGUAAUACGUAGGUGGCAAGCGUUGUCCGGAAUUAUUGGGCGUAAAGGGCUCGCAGGCGGUUUCUUAAGUCUGAUGUGAAAGCCCCCGGCUCAACCGGGGAGUGUCAUUGGAAACUGGGAAACUUGAGUGCAGAAGAGGAGAGUGGAAUUCCACGUGUAGCGGUGAAAUGCGUAGAGAUGUGGAGGAACACCAGUGGCGAAGGCGACUCUCUGGUCUGUAACUGACGCUGAGGAGCGAAAGCGUGGGGAGCGAACAGGAUUAGAGACCCCGGUAGUCCCUGUCUCUUAUAC
rnacentral:rRNA from 1 species